GAUGAACGCUGGCGGCGUGCUUAACACAUGCAAGUCGAACGAAGCACCUUGAUUUGAUUCUUCGGAUGAAGAUCUUGGUGACUGAGUGGCGGACGGGUGAGUAACGCGUGGGUAACCUGCCUCAUACAGGGGGAUAACAGUUAGAAAUGACUGCUAAUACCGCAUAAGACCACAGCACCGCAUGGUGCAGGGGUAAAAGCUCCGGUGGUAUGAGAUGGACCCGCGUCUGAUUAGGUAGUUGGUGGGGUAACGGCCUACCAAGCCGACGAUCAGUAGCCGACCUGAGAGGGUGACCGGCCACAUUGGGACUGAGACACGGCCCAAACUCCUACGGGAGGCAGCAGUGGGGAAUAUUGCACAAUGGGGGAAACCCUGAUGCAGCGACGCCGCGUGAGCGAUGAAGUAUUUCGGUAUGUAAAGCUCUAUCAGCAGGGAAGAAAAUGACGGUACCUGACUAAGAAGCACCGGCUAAAUACGUG
rnacentral:rRNA from 1 species